rnacentral:lncRNA from 1 species
GAGAAAUUUGAUAUGCUUUUUGGUUGGCUAGAGACAUGAAGGAUUGCAAAGAGUUAACCUUAGCUGACUUCCUCAUUACCCAGACUAGUCUGGGCUUGAGGGAUAAAGAAAAGGUUUUUUUGAAAGCCAUGUUUGUUAUUGCUGUAGAAGAGACCUGUUUCAUGAAUCAGUGAAAGUAUGAAAACAUGCAGAAGAUGUUUUAGGGUGAUGAUUUCUAAGUUUCUUUGUGCUAGCAUUUACCUCACUGUGAAGUGUAAACUAAAGAGAGGUCUUAUGGAAUUAUCUUUGGAGAACCCUGAUUGGUCCAGAAUCCAUUACUCUGCUUGCAUUCACAUCUUUUGUUUGUACUGACUGCAUUUCUUCCAAGAAAUAAACUGUGUUGAUGCUGAAUAAUAAUUGUGGGUUCAAUUUUUCAUCAUGCAUCCAAACUCAAAUUAAAGGAACAUUAAAUUUACAAGGAAAAAAAUAGCUGUGCAUCCCCAGUUCAGCUGUUGUCUGUUUAUGUUAGUCUCCUGAUUGCAAUGCAUCCUAUUUUUACUUUAGAAUUCCAGGCUUACACAGUUCAAAGGAUGUUCUCCUCCAGAACCAGUGUCAGUGUUAUAAAGUGCAAAAUGUUGCACUCAGAGUGGCUGCAGAAGUUGAAUGAGGCAGAAUAUUGAAGAAAGAGAAAGAAAUAUCAACUGCAAGAAGCUGAAUGAGCUUGGUCACAGCACCAGCACUCACAACCCAAGAGGGGAACCACAUACUAAACUAUAUCCCGGGCCUAUUUCCCAUUUAGAAAAAAGGUUAAAGUGUCUAAAAAUGUAUGUAAAACAUGUGGAAAGCAUGUGCUAUGUGGAAAGAUUGCUGAAGAUCUGGAAUGUAAAGCCCUUAAGCCAAUUCCUUUGCAUUGUAUCUCCAUUUAAUGUAACUGAAGUGAAUAAUGUUUCACCAGUGAUGAAUCUGGCUCAAGCUGUUUAUUUGCAAAACAAUAUGGAGAAGGGAGAAAACAGCUCUUUUCCUGAAGAUAUUUCCAGUAGCUGUAUGUAAAAUAAAUAUCAGUGUUUACCAUAAAG